rnacentral:rRNA from 1 species
GGGUUAGUAGGUUGGUCAUGCCUCUGGUAUGUACUGGUCUCACUGAUUCCUCCUUCCUGAUGAACCGUAAUGCCAUUAAUUUGGUGUUGCGGGGAAUUUGGACUGUUACUUUGAAAAAUUAGAGUGUUUAAAGCAAGCUAACGCUUGAAUACAUUAGCAUGGAAUAAUGAAAUAGGACGUUCGAUCCUAUUUUGUUGGUUUCUAGGAUUGACGUAAUGAUUAAUA